UUCGGUUUUGUAUAAUAUUGUGUAUUAAUACUGUUAAUUUUUUUAAUAUUAGUUUAAAAAGAGAUUAAGGGUUUUGAAUAUUGUUUUCUUAUUAUAUCACAGAAAUCGCAAUUAAAUAUUUGAUUAUUUAUUCAUUCUAAGAAACAGUCGCUUAAGCUUAGCAACGCGUCGUCACGCCAGCAAUUGGUUUUACUUGCGGCUAUAGAUGAUAGAAGUUUCACAUCAAUAAUAAGGAAGCCGUACCUCCUACGAGGUAUCCGCGCUUAGGGGGCACGCGGGUAUGUGGAACUUGACGGCACACGUUGAGAGCAGCCAGCUGGCUCAAAGAUAUUAGUAUCCUACCGGACUAACCGACUUUCCUUGCACCCUUUCAUCUGAAGCCCGAUCUCCGCCCGGAAUCAGAACUCAGUCAAAAGGGGGGUUUCGCGGUCAACACUACAACCAGACCUGUGGCGCCAUCCCUAGGACGACCGACCGAUGGGUCGUUGAGGUGAUCGUCGACGAUCAACAACGCCGGUCUCCGAAGUACCUAGCCGGUUACGCCGCCAGGGCGAUGCAGUUAGUAUUCCGGGAUACCAGACGUCAGAACCAGCCUGCCGGGUCGUUUAGCCACGACAGCGAAUUGAAAAAAGUCUGUACAACACUUGGUUUAUAAAGUUAUAUUAUACUAGCGACCUGCCCUCGCUUCGCUUCGGAAACUUUAAAUUUUAUUAUUUAUAGGCGAGUCCUGCCAUGUUGCGCGCGGUACGACAAUAACUUCGGGUGACGCCGCGGCGCGAAGCUAGUCUAAAAAAAGUAGCCUAAAUUACUCCUUAUAUCAUCAGCUACCUAUUAGUGAAAGUUUCAUCAAAAUUAGUCCAGCCGUUCCAGAGAUUAGCCGGAACAAAUAGACAGACAGACAGACAAAAAUUGCAAAAAAUGUUAUUUUGGUGUAUGUACCGUAUCUAUAUUCAUAUGCAUGGAGUAAAAAGCGGUUAUUUCAAUAUUACAAACAGACACCCAAUUUUAUUUAUAUGGAUAGAUUACUAGCAGACCCGGCCACACGUUGCUGUGGCUAAGGUUUUGGUCUCUAAAUUACACGUGGCCGGCUAUGCUAAUACCAAAAAUUAACAAAAUAAGAACAAUUGGAUUUCACUGUAUUGCGUUCACUACGAAAUAAAUUUAACUUAUACUUUAGCCUCAGCAACACGUGGUGUUUAUGCCAUCAAAUUGUAGCUUAUGUGAAACGUUGGUAUUUUUAACACAGCGCCAUCUAUGAGAUAUUAAUGUCAGACAGUAUUUAAGGCGCCAUCUGUUUUAGACUUAUGAAACUUACAAUUAAUAACAAUAAUCAACAUAAGAAAUCAUUUUAUUGUUAAUUAAUAAAUAUUGCGAACAUUAACCGAAAUAAAAACCAUCCUAUGGG